UACGGAGGAUCCGAGCGUUAUCCGGAUUUAUUGGGUUUAAAGGGAGCGUAGGUGGAUUGUUAAGUCAGUUGUGAAAGUUUGCGGCUCAACCGUAAAAUUGCAGUUGAAACUGGCAGUCUUGAGUACAGUAGAGGUAGGCGGAAUUCCCGGUGUAGCGGUGAAAUGCGUAGAGAUCGGGAGGAACACCAGUGGCGAAGGCGGCCUACUGGGCUUUAACUGACGCUGAGGCACGAAAGCGUGGGUAGCAAACAGG
rnacentral:rRNA from 1 species